rnacentral:rRNA from 1 species
GACGAACCGUGCAAACGUUGUUCGGAAUCACUGGGCUUAAAGGGCGCGUAGGCGGGCCAGCCAGUCUGUGGUGAAAGCCUCCAGCUUAACUGGAGAAGUGCCGUGGAUACUGCUGGCCUCGAGGAGGGUAGGGGCAUCUGGAACGGUCGGUGGAGCGGUGAAAUGCGUUGAUAUCGACCGGAACUCCGGUGGCGAAGGCGAGGUGCUGGACCCUUUCUGACGCUGAGUGCGCGAAAGCCAGGGGAGCAAACGGG